AGUGAACGCUGGCGGUAGGCCUAACACAUGCGAGUCGAACGGCAGCACAGUAAGAGCUUGCUCUUACGGGUGGCGAGUGGCGGACGGGUGAGGAAUACAUCGGAAUCUACUUUUUCGUGGGGGAUAACGUAGGGAAACUUACGCUAAUACCGCAUACGACCUACGGGUGAAAGCAGGGGAUCUUCGGACCUUGCGCGAUUGAAUGAGCCGAUGUCGGAUUAGCUAGUUGGCGGGGUAAAGGCCCACCAAGGCGACGAUCCGUAGCUGGUCUGAGAGGAUGAUCGGCCACACUGGAACUGGGACACGGUCCAGACUCCUACGGGAGGCAGCAGUGGGGAAUAUUGGACAAUGGGCGCAAGCCUGAUCCAGCCAUACCGCGUGGGUGAAGAAGGCCUUCGGGUUGUAAAGCCCUUUUGUUGGGAAAGAAAAGCAGCAGGCUAAUACCCCGCUGUUCUGACGGUACCCAAAGAAUAAGCACCGGCUAACUUCGUG
rnacentral:rRNA from 1 species